UACGUAGGGGGCAAGCGUUGUCCGGAAUCAUUGGGCGUAAAGAGCGUGUAGGCGGCUCGAUAAGUCUGCUGUGAAAGUCCAGGGCUCAACCCUGGAAGGCCGGUGGAAACUGUCGGGCUAGAGUGCGGCAGAGGAGACUGGAAUUCCUGGUGUAGCAAUGAAAUGCGUAGAUAUCAGGAGGAACACCGAUGGCGAAGGCAGGUCUCUGGGCUGACACUGACGCUCAUGCACGAAAGCGUGGGGAGCAAACAGG
rnacentral:rRNA from 1 species